rnacentral:lncRNA from 1 species
AAACUAUGAGCAAGGUGACGUUUUAGUCCUCAAAUUUUAAUUUUAAUUUUUUUUUGCAUUUAGUCCCCUUAUAAAUUUUUUUCCACAAACAGUCCUAUAAAAUUUAUGUUUACAAAAUUGGCCUUAUUCCCACCAUACAUAUUCCAUGUGAGCGUCGAUGGUGGUAGGGAUUAAGUUGAAUAAAAUGAAUCAUUCAGUAUUUAGACAUGAUGAAUAAUUCACCGUAUUUUUCUAAAUCUCAAACCUCAAAUAUUACUUAAUACCGUCGUAGGAAAACUAAUAAAAUACUAUAAAUGAUUCACCAUAUUCAAUUUAAUUUAAACUGCUGCUCAUGUGGUACUCGCAUGGCAGGAAUAUGACCAAUAGUGCAAAUAUAAAUUUUAUGGAGCUACUUGUGAAAAAAAAUUUCUGAGGAGACUAAAUGCAAAAAGAAGGUCCUUUAAUUUACUAUAAUUUUUAGCUCGAACUUUUAGAUACUCAGUUGAUUAAAUAUUGAUAAAUCGUUAGUAUGAAAAUAAUAUAGUAGUUUUGCGUUUGAUGAUAUACUAAUAAUUAAAAUAUCACGUCACUUUUACAUUGACGAUACGUCAAUAUUUAUUUAGUUAACUAAAUUGAAUUACAAUAAUUUUUAAAAAUUUAGAAAUUAUAAUAAAUUAAAACUUGAGGAUCAAAGUGUCGAUCGCAAAUAGGUUGAGGACAAAAUGUGCAAUUUACCCUUUUUCUUUUUUAAGCAUAUUAUGGCUGAGGUUUUAGUCUUGGGAGUACCGAAAUGGACGGCCGGAUUUAUCGGAACGAGACAAGCAGUUCUCGACACGCGUGAGCUGUGCAGAAAACUUAAUAGGAUUUGUUUUUUUCUUUUAUUUUAAAAAAUAUUUUAUUUUUAAUAUUAUUUGGUUCUAAAACUGCCUAUCGUUUGGUACUGAGAUCUGUCUAAUAAUAUUAAACUAAAAAAAUAAAUAUAGACAAAAAUAUAUAAAAUAUAGUUCGCUAAUGAUCUCGUAGAAAUUAUAUCGUAAAUAAAUUAUUACAAUUUGCUUCAAAUUAUAUUUUUUACGAGAAUGAAUGAGCAGAAAUAAAUAGAAUAUUUUUUAGAUUUGAGUUGUAAUUUUAUUUA